ACAACCCUUAGAAGUACUGCAGGUGUGGCUGCUGUCACAAGUUUGUGAGUUGGUGGCAGAGAGGGAAGAGGUUAUGUUUAUUCUCAGUGUUCGGGCCUAUAGACGUCUGAAUAAUUAGUCACCUAACAGU